rnacentral:tRNA from 1 species
CGGAAGUAGCUCAGUUGGUAGAGCAUUAGCCUUCCAAGCUAAGGGUCGCGAGUUCGAACCUCGUCUUCC